CCCAAAUGCGCAUCUGGAAAACGAACGGAGAGAGAGAGAGAGAGAGAGAGAGAGAGAGAGAGAGGAGGAGGAGGACCACCGCGACACCCACCCCCACCGGCUACUCCCACCACCACCGUCUACCACCACCACCACCACCGGCGACCAGCCCAUGGGUAUCUCCUCCAAAUCCCCAAACCCCAAUCCAAAAUCUCUAGUCUUCUCACACCCAUCUCUCAUCUUGCAAUUCCCAUCAAAACCCUAAUCACCGAUUCAGAGCCAAAAUCCAUAUUCAAUGACCUUGAUGAGGCCCCGUCAACGAAACCCUUCGGAAACAGAGACCCAUUUGCUAUAGAGAAUGUUGAGCAGUUUGAUCAAAGCAGGUCAGUAAAUACGUGUACGGUUACGAUCUCUCGUCACCCGUGGCCUGAAUGGGUCGGGUUGAUGGAACACUUGUGUAGAAUUGGAUACUUGGAAGAAGAAGUUGGGAAUCCGUUUUUCACGCUAGAGAAUUGGAUUUUAAGAAUUCGAAUAGAAUUGGGACGGCUUGUCAUAAUUUCGCUCGAGAUAGAGUUGAUCUUAUGAGGUCAUCACGGAGAAUCGGAGAACCAUUAGAAUGGUCUGCACGCCAAAACAUAGCUGUGGGAGCUGCUCGAGGGCAUGGAAUGCUAUAAGAUGGAAAGAGAAGAAGGUUUCCGUGACUCAAACAAAGCAGUAAAGAUGGUGAAUGAUUUGGCAGCGAAGAAGAGCAGAAUGCUUUGAUAGGAAACAAAAAAUGGAGGUGUAAUUCCUAGGCCUAUUUGUCUUACAAUUGAAAUACUGGAAUGUAGCCUAUUUUCGUUUUGCAAAUGAGUUUGUAACCAUUAGAGAGGAAAAUGUACUUUUAUUUAUUGGGAUGUGAAUGAUAAUUAGCAUGAGAAUGACCCUACGUGGGACUAUAUGGUUUUAUGGUUUUUGUUGUGAAUGGAUAACUUGGCAAUGGA